GACGAACGCUGGCGGCGUGCCUAAUACAUGCAAGUAGAACGCUGAAGGAGGAGCUUGCUUCUCUGGAUGAGUUGCGAACGGGUGAGUAACGCGUAGGUAACCUGCCUGGUAGCGGGGGAUAACUAUUGGAAACGAUAGCUAAUACCGCAUAAUAGUAGAUGUUGCAUGACAUUUGCUUAAAAGGUGCAAUUGCAUCACUACCAGAUGGACCUGCGUUGUAUUAGCUAGUUGGUGAGGUAACGGCUCACCAAGGCGACGAUACAUAGCCGACCUGAGAGGGUGAUCGGCCACACUGGGACUGAGACACGGCCCAGACUCCUACGGGAGGCAGCAGUAGGGAAUCUUCGGCAAUGGGCGGAAGUCUGACCGAGCAACGCCGCGUGAGUGAAGAAGGUUUUCGGAUCGUAAAGCUCUGUUGUAAGAGAAGAACGAGUGUGAGAGUGGAAAGUUCACACUGUGACGGUAUCUUACCAGAAAGGGACGGCUAACUACGUG
rnacentral:rRNA from 1 species